AUGCUGCUCUGGACCACCCUGAGAGAGAAGGAGGGCUCUGGGGGACCUGGCGCAUUCCUCCCACAAGAUCCCUGGGCCGCAGCCUCUGCACCACGCCCUCGGCCUAGGCCAGGACUGAGUCAGGUAGAAGAGUCGAUAAAACCACCUGAUCAAGGGAAAGGAAAGCACAGCGGAGCGCAGAGUGAAAGCUCCCAGCGGCGAGGCGCCGGGCAGCUCCCCUGCAGCGGCGGACAGCGCGGCCCGGCCUGGCGAUGUCUGCGCUCUGGCUCAGCGGCUGCCUCUGCCUCUCGCUCCUCCUGCCUGCAGCCCGGGCCAACUCCAGGACGCCAGGUGAGUCCCUUCCCGGAGGAAACAGCGCAGCCCUGGGCGGGGAACUGGCCUUGCCCUGCAGAGCGUGAUGGCUGCACGCACUUUGCAAGAAGGCGCCCCACUUUGCAAGAACCUCUUUAGAGCUCCCUCCCGCUCCGUCCUGUGGGGCUCCUCCAGACGGUGGUUCACAAUAGGUAUAUACUAUUUACCAAUACUAUGUAAAGCUGUCUGAUUUUAAAAUGUGAAACCAAUGGAUUGUGCCAAACCAGGGUUUUCUUCCCUUUAAAAAGUGCCUUCUUGAGUGUUUAUUGAUUGAUUGAUUGAUCAAGGUGCUCUGGUUUAAUCAGUAACAUGUGGGUAUAUAAAUUCUUUUCCCACAGUGUGUUUUUAUUGANNNNNNNNNNNNNNNNNNNNNNNNNNNNNNNNNNNNNNNNNNNNNNNNNNNNNNNNNNNNNNNNNNNNNNNNNNNNNNNNNNNNNNNNNNNNNNNNNNNACAGUGUGUUUUUAUUGAUGGAAUUUUGGUGGGAAUGUUUUCUGUGACCUUGAACCCCAUGAAGGUUGAAAAGGCACCUCUUUAAUCAUCCCUCUGGAAUUCCCGUUUCUUUGGGAUGGAAAAUGAGCCGUAAGAGUCUUAACAAUGCUUUUCCUUUUGCAUAGUGUUACUUUUUAUAGUAUUUUCACAUAAUAUUUAUCCAACAGGCAUUUAUUGGGCACCUAUGUCAUAGACCAUUUGAUCUUAUCUAGGGUACCCAGUAGCUGUCACGUUGUGAGAAGUUCAACUCCUGUAAACAAAACUUCCUGGGCACCUAGUAACAGUAUACUGUAUGCAUGCAUCAGCCACAACACAUAACGGGUGUUUCUCUUAAGUUUUACUUAGUAGUCACUGAAUUUUACCAAUGAUAUCUGCCUAACCACCUCAAAUUUUUGGGUUUAUUUUUGCUUCUUGUAUCUGAUGGCACUUAGAUAAUUAUCUCAACACAUCCAAUAUCCGUUUUCACACAUGUGAACAUAUGUGAACAUGAGACCAAGUUCAUGGGUACGUGGAAUUAUCUUAGAUACUCCAUUUAUUGCUUUGCAGUCUGGGUGAUGCUAGCCUGAAUGGUAUUUGAGUGGCACAAAUGUUUUAGCGUCUAUUUGAAUGCAUUUGAUUCAGUCUUUUUUUUGGUCUAAGAUAAUCUUGAAAUUAACUUCCAGGUCAUCAUCCUUGACUACCAUUUAAAAAUCACUUAUGAAAAUGAUCAUGUAGGUUAGACUCCCUUAGAAUCAAUAGCUUUCACCUAGUGAGAAAUAUCCUAAAAGUAAGAAUAGUCUUUGAGUAUCAGAAUUCAGAGAGACUACUUAUGGAUCAACUCUUAGAAUCCCUUGACUUAAUAAAUGAAAAUAUGGAAAUGGAUUUGUGCAAAGCUACAGAAGCAGCUACUGGCAGAGACACAUCUGAAACUUGAUCGAUGGUUUCUUAGACUGGAACUUCAGGGACCUUAUUAUAAAAGUAAUAAGGGAACAGGUACAUAUGGUUUGCAUAAUGAGUAAUUGUUGAAGCACUUUCCCUUUGGGCUAUAGUUGAGUGUAUGUGUGUGUGUGUUAGCAUUAGAUAAAAGAAACAAAUAUGUAGGGAAAUAUCAAUUUUUUUGUGCUCCUCCUGUAGCUCAGUGGUAAAGAAUCCGCCUGCAAUUUGGGAGCCAUAAGUGCUAUCCCUGGUCUGGGAAGAUCGCCUGGAGAAGGAAAUGGCAACUCAGUCCAGUAUUCUUGCCUGGGACAUCCCAUAGACAGAGGAGCCUGGCAGGCUACAGUUCACAGGGUCUCAAAAGUGCUGGACACGACUUAGUGGCUAACUAACAACAACGUCAAUUGUUUAAUAAAAUUAGAGUCAGGAGGAAAGAGUUUAGACUCUAACUCCUCAAGGAUGGAGAAACUCAGAGUGUCCAGUAAGUCAGAAGGACUUAAUGAAUUGUUAAGUCAGAAGCAGUGUUUAGGCUCAUUUCCAGACUUUCCCCUUUUUCAAAGAUAGGCCAUUUAAAAAUAUUAGGCUGCCUCCUCAAAGGGCUUCAUUUGGGGUUCAGUGAGAGUGUGAAAGGUUUGUGUUAGGCUAGAGCACCCAUGCUUUUCUAUUUAUGGGAUGCCUGGGAUCUUGUGGGAGUUGGACUGAAAGUAUGGUGCUUGCCAUCUCCCAAAGUGACCUGCAUCUGUGUGCCUCUGAGAGCCUAAAGCAAGGACAUUGCUUCCUGGGUGCUACCUUGCAGGUGAAAUUUUAGUGUUAGAUAUAAUCAGAGUUGGUCUCAGCUAAAGCACAUGUUUUAGAGUCAGCCUAACCUGGCUUUAAAUUUUUGACUGCUUUGUUUACUAGUUCCUUAUUAGUAACCAUUCAGGCACCUCAGCCACCCGGAGUCGCCUCUUUGCUGUUAAAUAGAGGCAAUAGUGCUGUGUAACCUUGCAGGGCUGUUGAAGGGAAGAGAUGUUAUUGUGAAGAACCUUAAAAUGCCUAGAACUACAUUUCUUUAAGAUGUCUGAUGCCAACAGUGCAAGUGUAGUGAACUUGGAUGCUUAGAGGUCAUUAAGAAAGAUAAAGAGUCCCCCUCAGGAGCUCAUAGUUGAUGUGAAUGUGGCUGUAGCUCCAAUGGUCUGCAUCAUAGUUCCCUUGAGGAGGUGUGACUGGAGAAGGGAGGUUGGAAUGCCACUAGAAAUGUAGCCAAGAAUCUGGUGGUGAAGAGCCUUACAUGCCAGGAUCAGGAUAUGCAGUUAGGUUAGUGCCCUGUGGCAAAGAAGGGUUGCAGAAGGUUGUUUGUUUGUUUUUUUUUUUUCCAGAGAAGGAAGGAUUUAUAAUUUGCAGCAAGUAAGGAACACUUGAUUUUCCAAAGCACUGUCUCCAGGUUGCAGGUGGUUUCUAAGAAGAGUGGACGUGGGAAAGGUCACUCAUUUAAGGGCUUAAAGGAUCGAAGUGAGCUAGGAGAGGCAAAUAAAUGGCCAUUGAAAUAAUCCAAAUGAGACUUGAUGAGGGUUUUCAUCAUGGUCAUGGAACAGCAAAGAGGAAACAGAUCACAGAGACAUUUAGAAGGUGAAAUUGGAAGAAUUUGGUGAUCCAAUGAGUAUGUGCAUUAGGGAUAAUAGUAACGGGAAACUGUGAGAAAUAAGGAAGAGUCCAAGGUGGGUCCAAGGCUUCAACUUCAUGUAAUUGGUUAGGCAGUGAUAUUAAAGGAAAUGAGGACUUUAACAAAAGAGUCAGGUUUGAGAGCAAGGUCGGCAGUAAUGAAGAGAAGGAGGUGAGCUUCCAAGGGGAUAUGUUGAGUUUGAGUUGCAAGUGUAUAUGUCCAGUGAACUGGAACUAUAAUUUUGAAAUUUAGAAGAAAUUAAAACAAUGUAAAGUUGGGAGUCCAACAAAGCCUUGAAAAUAGAUGAGACUAUCUGGGUUCAGUUCAGUUGCUCAAUCGUGUCCGACUCUUUGCAACCCCAUGAACCACAGCACGCCAGGCCUCCC
rnacentral:lncRNA from 1 species